AAUGAACGUUGGCGGCGUGGAUUAGGCAUGCAAGUCGUACGGGCCAGCAAUGGUCAGUGGCGAAAGGGAGAGGAAUACGCAGGUAUCUACCUCCGGGUCGGGGAUAGCCACGGGAAACUGUGAGUAAUACCCGAUAACGUCUCCGGACCAAAGGUGUGAUUCCACCUGGAGAGGAGCCUGCGUGCUAUUAGCUUGUUGGCGGGGUAACGGCCCACCAAGGCUACGAUGGGUACGGGGUGUGAGAGCAUGCCCCCGCUCACUGGGACUGAGACACUGCCCAGACACCUACGGGUGGCUGCAGUCGAGAAUCUUCCGCAAGGGGCGCAAGCCUGACGGAGCGACGCCGCGUGUGGGAUGAAGGCCUUCGGGUUGUAAACCACUGUCGUAGGGGAGGAAGGACCGGUGCAGGGCCGGUUUUGACCUAUCCUAGGAGGAAGGGUGGGCUAAGUUCGUGCCAGCCGCCGCCGUAACAC
rnacentral:rRNA from 1 species